rnacentral:lncRNA from 1 species
CAGAUUACAGACAUGUGCCACUGCACCUGUUGGUGGCUAGGGAAAUAACCCAAAUUGGGACAGAUAUUGAUGAUACAACAAUUGGGAAUUGCUGAUGGUUUGGGGUCAAGAGAAAGAGGAAUCAAUGAUGUCUUCUAGGUUUGGAGCUUUAACAACCGGUCAGUAUUUGUACCACCAACUGAGAUAGAGAUGUCUGUAGAGGGGAAAGAGCAUAGGGCAAUGAAAAGAAAAACCUUGGUGUGUAUUGGUGGAAAAAUUCAUUCCACUGAACAUCAGCAGGUAAAUGGAUAAGCCAAAGGUAAUCAGUUUGCAUGCCCUUAAUCCAAAAAUAUGAAAAAACAAAACAAAACAUUUUUUUAGGUUUGUUCCUUAAACAUUUUUAAUUUUAUUUUCUUACUUGUUCUCUUUAGUUAUACAGGACAGUAGAAUCUAUUUUGAUAUAUUUAUACAAACAUGAAAUCUAUCUUAUUCUAAUUAGGAUCCUAGUCUUGUGGAUGGACACAAUGGUGAGAUUCACUGUGGUGUAUUCAUAUAUGAAUACAGGAAAAUGAUGUCAGAUUCAUUCCACUGUCUUUCCUUUGCCCCCUCUUUCCCCUUCAUUCCCCUUUGUCUAAUCCACUGGACUUCCAACCACCCUCUUUGUUGUGGGUUAGCAUCCACAUAUCAGAGAGAACAUUCGACUGUCGGAUUUUUGGAAUUGUCUUAUUUCACUUAGCAUGAUAGUCUCCAGAUCCAUCCAUUUACCAGCAAAAGUCAUAAAGUCAUUCUUCUUUAUGGCUUAGUAAUAUUCAAUUGUGUAUAUGUACCAUUAUUUCUUUAUCCAUUCAUCUGUUGAUGGGCAUCCAGGUUGGCUGCACAACUUAGCUAUUAUAAAUUGUGCUGCUAUAAACAUUGAAGUGGCUGUGUCACUGUAGCAUGCUGACAAAGUGAAACUUUUGAGGAUCUGACAUGAUGCCACAUGAAAAUCCCACACCUAACUUUAUGUGGUGGGUUGCAGUCAAAAUGCAGGCACCCAACACACAGUUUAUUCAGGCUAAGUGUGCAAGUUAUACAUGAAAUAUAAACGAAUUUAUAUUUAGAAAUAUAAAUGAAUGUUUAGACUUGGUUUCCAUCCCCAAGAUAUCUCAUUAUAUAUAUGCAAAUACUCCAAAAUCUGAAAAAAAAAAUCUGAAACACUUCUGGUUCUAAGCAUUUUGUAAAAGGAAUAUUCAACCUGUAUUCCACAAGUAGAAUAUUAUUCAGGGAAGAAAAGGAUGACACAAUACGGAUACAUGCUACAUGAGUGAACCUUUAAAACAUUGUGCUAAGUGAAUGACUUCAGACACAAACACCACAUAUUGUAUGAUUUCAUUAUAUGAAAUGUCCAGAGUAGGCAAAUCCAUAGACAGAAAUCAGAUAAGUGGGUAGCAGAGGAUUGGGCUGAGAAAAG